rnacentral:tRNA from 1 species
GGGCUCAUAGCUCAGUUGGUUAGAGCGCUUCCUUGACAUGGAAGAGGUCUCAGGUUCAAGUCCUGAUGGGCUCACCA